UACGUAGGGUGCAAGCGUUAAUCGGAAUUACUGGGCGUAAAGCGUGCGCAGGCGGUGAUGUAAGACAGAUGUGAAAUCCCCGGGCUCAACCUGGGAACUGCAUUUGUGACUGCAUCGCUGGAGUGCGGCAGAGGAGACUGGAAUUCCUGGUGUAGCAGUGAAAUGCGUAGAUAUCAGGAGGAAUACCGAUGGCGAAGGCAGGUCUCUGGGCUGACACUGACGCUCAUGCACGAAAGCGUGGGGAGCAAACAGG
rnacentral:rRNA from 1 species